rnacentral:rRNA from 1 species
UACGUAGGUGGCAAGCGUUGCCCGGAUUUAUUGGGUUUAAAGGGUGCGUAGGGGGUCAAUUCAGUCAUUGCUGAAAUAUCCCGGCUUAACCGGGAGGGUGGCAUUGAUACUGAUUGACUUGAGUGGAGUUGAGGUAGGCGGAAUUGACGGUGUAGCGGUGAAAUGCUUAGAUAUCGUCAAGAACACCGAUAGCGAAGGCAGCUUACCAAGCUCUAACUGACACUGAUGCACGAAAGUGUGGGGAUCAAACAGG